CAUAUUAAAAUAACAUCCUAAACACAACAGUGGCGGCUGAAUAAGGGCAUACAACAUUGACCGAAUUGGGAAAAGGAGAGCUACGAUCAACCUCAGAUUUUGACCAUUCCAAAACUUUGAGGAAGGGCAAGGCACUUGCGGACUAACUACUUUUAGAUUCGUUGGUUAAGAAAGUGUUCUAGAGGCUCAGACAUGACCUCACCUCUAGAGUUUGAUAGUAGAUCUUGAUCCAAGGGCGAGUACUCUGUCUCCAAGCUGCCAUGGGUCAUCUUAUUUGUUCUUGUCCAUCUUUCGGACAAUGAAAACAUUCUUUAUUUACUUUAUUUUUGAA